ACAAAUACUACUCCCCAAACUUCAGAAGGCCUCGUCAACAGUAACCUGUUUUUUCAACACUAAAAAUGUCAGGGGAAAAACAUGAACACAAUCCCUCCCCCACCACCACAAGUUUAAUCCUCACAGCUUUCAGGUCUGCCUGGUCGGUCUCAGCUUUUCACCCCACAACUGCCUCCUCAACCUUGCCAAUGCUUCAUGGACUAGCCAUGAUCCAAAUGUAUCAAUCCAUAGUGUCUAGAAGAUGCAGCUGAGCCUUGCAAAGAAAGUAGAUCUUCCCAGGCUCUCUAAACCCCUCACUAACAUAACCUACUUCCCCUGAGAACUGAUGUAAUUAUGGUUUGUCUUUUAAAAUCUUGUAGCCCUGAGUCUGGGCACCAAAGAGGCUUUUCAGGGGCCUCCUUGGUCUAGUCAUUAAUAAAGCAAGGACUUGAAAUUU